UUUUUUUCCUGUACAUCUGCAACGUAGACAUCAGCAGUGAGACUUGAAUUCUCUGCCAGAGGAAGUGGUCAUGGUGAACUCAAUAAAAGAGUUCAAAAGAGGCCUGGAUACAGAAUAAUAUUACAGGUGGAGAUAGUAUGUGGAGAUGAUGUGCUAUAACGUCUCCCAUACACUGCACACCCAGAAGUACACCUUAAGAAGCAGCAGCAGCAUGGACAACAUUAUAGAGCAGUAUUGAGCGGCAUAAGCUGUGAAUCCAGCACUGGGGAACAGUCCUAUGCAAGUGAAUGGCAGUGGCACUGCAAGAAGAACGAGACCACCACAAUGACAGCAGAAAAUUGGAUAAUGGCGGCCAUUAGACUGUAUAAAAGUAUAAUAAAUUUGGCUAAGAGCUGCGUGGAAAAUGGGGCCCAUUCUGAUUUAGGCACAGGGUCCUAUGAUUCCUGCCUACACCAUUGCUGAACCACGCACGAUAUCUGCUGCUGACUGAUCUUUUUAAUAGCUCUAAUAUUUUUUUUUUAAUUAAAGAAUCUUUCUAUAAAAUGCUUUUCCUUAUUAAAC